AUUUUAUAUAUAUGGAGAGAAGGUUAGCACUCCCCUUGACAAGGAUAUAUAUAUAUAUAUAUAUAUAUAUAUAUAUAUAUAUAUAUUGUUUGGGGGCUACAUCCAGCAGUGCUAAGGGCUUAU